rnacentral:rRNA from 1 species
UACGUAGGUGGCGAGCGUUAUCCGGAAUUAUUGGGCGUAAAGAGCGCGCAGGUGGUUGAUUAAGUCUGAUGUGAAAGCCCACGGCUUAACCGUGGAGGGUCAUUGGAAACUAGAGGACUAGAGGGCAGGAGAGGGAAGUGGAAUUCCCAGUGUAGCGGUGGAAUGCUCAGAUAUUGGGAAGAACACCAGUGGCGAAGGCGGCUUCCUGGCCUGCACCUGACGCUGAGAGGCGAAAGCUAGGGUAGCAAACGGGCUUAGAUACCCCCGUAGU